rnacentral:lncRNA from 1 species
AUUACAUCAACAUAAAGGUCACAGCAAUAAAGGAGCUCCAACUUUGAUGCUAAUGAGGACCCAUUGGGAGGCUGAGGAGGGAGCCUUGCUGUAGGAGAUGAAUCUGCUCAUUGCGUUCCUGCUGUUUCUGCACAGAGUGGGCCUGUUCCUGGCUGCACAGGGUCCAGUUUCUACGUGGGAUGCCUACCACAGCAUGGCGUGCCAAGUGGUGCCAUGCCCACACCCGGGAUCCGAACUGGUGAACCCUGGGCUGCGGAAGCAGAAUGUGCGAACUUAACCGCUGUGCCACCGGGCUGGCCCCCUACCACCUGUCUUUUGACUCAGCCAAACUAACAAAUUAAAUUCCAUUCCUUUCUAUUUAACUCAAGUCAAC